rnacentral:misc_RNA from 1 species
GAAAUGCGAUAAGCAGAGUGAAUUGCAGAAUUCAGUGAAUCAUCGAAUCUUUGAACGCACAUUGCGCCCCUUGGUAUUCCAUGGGGCAUGCCUGUUCGAGCGUCAUUUGUACCCUCAAGCUCUGCUUGGUGUUGGGUGUUUGUCCCGUCUCCGCGCGUGGACUCGCCCCAAAGUGAUUGGCAGCCGGCGUACUGGUCCCGGAGCGCAGCACAUGUCGCGCAAACGAGUGCCUUGGUACGGCGGCGUCCAUAAGCCCCUCUCUCACGCUCUUGACCUCGGAUCAGGUAGGGAUACCCGCUGAACUUAAGC